AAGAAGAAGAAGAAGAAGAAGAAGAAGAAGAAGAAGAAAGGAUUCCAGGGCUGGCAAGAUAACACAGCAGGUCAAGGUGUUUGCUGUCCAAGCCUGGAGUCCUGAGUUUGAUCACUGAAGCUUAUGUAAGGCAGAAGGAAAGAACCAGCCCCACAAAGUGGUUCUCUGACAUCCACAUGCAUUUUCUGAUCCAUGAGCCUCCCCUGUAACAUUCAUGAACAAUCCUCUUAUCAUGUAUGCAUAACCUCCCCUAUCAUUCAUGCACAUACAAACACCCCCUAUCAUGCAUGUAUAUGUGGACACACAUAUACAUUAAAAAAUUAAAGAUUUA